UCAGUAAUUACUGGCUUGAGAAUAACGGUCAAAUCUGUGGUUGAUCUGUCCAGUAACUCACCUGAGAUGGAGCUCCUUGUGCGUCAGAUUGAAACUUUCAUUCCUUCUCAACACAAAGCAACAACUUCCAUUACAGUGAGAAGCAUCCAGAAAGGCUCCAGAACUUAUUAAAAAUAUUAAUAUUGUAAGCUAGUAUUCAUAUUUCAGUAAGGUCAAUGAAAUUGUCAUGACUAUGGUAGCCUAUUGUUCUUUGUAGCUUUAACAGAGCCCUUAUACAUGAAUGUGAUUGUUUUAAUUGUUUAGUAAAUCAGCCGCAGUGUCAUGGCACAACUUUAAGAUGAGUUGUUCUGAAUCAAAUGCUAUUCAGCUCUGAGUCUGGACAGCAAAACCUUCUUUUGUUUCUUCUAACAGAUUUGAUCUUUAUUUUAUUUAUAUAUGCUAUAUGUAAUUUUUCAUCUGCAAUAAAGCAUAAAAAUAACAAUAUUUUUGCAGAUAUUUAGGAAACAUGCUAAGUUCACAUAUUUGUUUCUCCAAUAAACAGUGCUACAGCCAAAUAAAAAAAAAAGGUUUUG